GGGCUGCMSUAUUUUGACUGUACAAAGGUAGCAUAAUCAAUAGUCUCUUAAUUGGUGACUUGUAUGAAAGAUUGGAUGAAAUAUAUACUGUCUCUMAUUAAUUUAUAGAAAUUAAUUUUUUAGUAAAAAAGCUAAAAUAAUUUUAAAAGACGAGAAGACCCUAUAGAGUUUAAUAAUUUAUUUAAUUAUAUUUAUUAUAUAAUUUUUAAAAUUAAAAUUAAAUGAAUUAUUUUGUUGGGGUGAUAGAAAAAUUAAAUUAACUUUUUUUAAUUGUUAACCUUAAUUUAUGAACAAAUGAUCCMUUAAUAAUGAUUAAAAGAAAAAAUUACCUUAGGGAUAACAGCGUAAUUUUUUUUUUUAGUUCMAAURGGAAAAAAAGUUUGCGACCUCGAUGUUGGAUUAA
rnacentral:rRNA from 1 species